AUAAGAGGUCCAGCCUGCCCAGUGACCCUGUUUAACGGCCGCGGUAUCCUAACCGUGCGAAGGUAGCGUAAUCACUUGUUCUUUAAAUGAGGACUAGUAUGAAUGGCAUCACGAGGGUUAUACUGUCUCCUCCCCCUAAUCAGUGAAACUAAUCUCCUCGUGAAGAAGCGAGAAUAAAUUUAUAAGACGAGAAGACCCUAUGGAGCUUCAAACUUCCAGCAAUUAUCUUUUUUAUAUUAACCUUAAGGUUUUAGUACUAACUUUAAUAAUAUGCCUGUCAGUUUUUGGUUGGGGUGACCGCGGAGUAAAACCUACCCUCCGCAAUGAAUAGACCAUUUAAGCAAAAAACUACAAUUUUAUGCAUCAAAAAAUUGACACUAUUGACCCAACAUUUUGAUCAACGAACCAAGUUACCCUAGGGAUAACAGCGCAAUCCAUCUCAAGAGCUCAUAUCGACAGAUGGGUUUACGACCUCGAUGUUGGAUCAGGGUAUCCCAGUGGUGCAGCCGCUACUAAAGGUUCGUUUGUUCAACGAUUAAAACCCUACGUGA
rnacentral:rRNA from 1 species